UACGAAGGGGGCUAGCGUUGUUCGGAAUUACUGGGCGUAAAGCGCACGUAGGCGGAUAUUUAAGUCAGGGGUGAAAUCCCGGAGCUCAACUCCGGAACUGCCUUUGAUACUGGGUAUCUUGAGUAUGGAAGAGGUAAGUGGAAUUGCGAGUGUAGAGGUGAAAUUCGUAGAUAUUCGCAGGAACACCAGUGGCGAAGGCGGCUUACUGGUCCAUUACUGACGCUGAGGUGCGAAAGCGUGGGGAGCAAAC
rnacentral:rRNA from 1 species